rnacentral:lncRNA from 1 species
CAGAAUAGGACAGGGUUCUGGCAGUCCAAGAAGUAAUCCUAGCUGUGAUUUUUUCCACUAGUGGUUGCCACUGUAGUGUAGUAAUUUUCUUGGUGCUCAGUGGUACUCCCAGGUACUUGAAAGGCAGUUGGCCUUAUUCAUAGCCAAGACGAUCAAGGAUCUGCUGUUGCACAGGUACUGGUACUCCUCCAAAGUAGACUGAGCUUUUGUUCAAGUUGUCCUUGAGACCUGAGGCUGUUGAGAAUUGUGAAAAACAGUUGGAUACUGCCUUAACAGAGUUGAGGUCUCCCUUAGCAAACAGCAACAAG